UUGUUAUAAAUAAUAAGCAGAAGAAAAAUAUAUUGUUUACCUAGUUUACUUUUAAACGAUGAGAAUUGCAAAAUUUGGAUAAAAUUGUGAGAUUUGAAUUGCAAAUCAUCAAUUUGCUUAUGAUUUUGAUCAAUUUCAAUUUGCUUAUGAUUUUGAUCAAUUUCAAUUUGCUUGGUUUGAAUUGAUUGAGACUUGAUUUGGUUCAAUUUUAAUUGUGAACUUUACAAUUCUUGUAACUGUGCCAUGUCAAUAUGUGGAUCUCUCUUUGCUGAGCCCUUCUAUGCGGCUAUGCUAGAGUAUGCUAGAGUUUCAUCAUCAUAAAGGUGUGAUACUUGGGAUAAAAACUACACUUGAUACCUGCACGUUAGUCGAGUAACAUAUAUCACCUUUUGACAAAGCUUGUUGUUUCUUUAUGUGAAACAAGAAAAUGGAGUGGCUGAAGCUCUUUUAGUGGGUGCCACUGCUUCACCCUAAAUUAAGUGAUUAGCUUUUUCCAUUAUAUCCUAUAUAUCAGUAGCUUUAUGUCUUCAGAAUCUAUUCCCAACAUUUGAUGUUGUUUUGAGUUUAGAAUAGGGGAUGGAAAACUAUGUGCCGCUUGUUGCUUGUCGCUUGAUGUAACAAACUAUAAGGUUAAGUGUUCUCAAAUCUCAAUUUAUUGGAUUCCAUGGCUUAUGUUGCUAGGCAUUGGCAUGAAUGGAAAGCGGUCUUUGUACCAUAAUACAUAUGGGUACUCCCAAUAUACAUAUAGCCCCUUUGGGACUGGUGACUGGUCAUAUUAUAUGGUCUUCAUGUUCCCCUUGUCAUCAUUACUGGAAGUCUGGAAUGAAUGCACAAGCAAUGCAAUUCUAAGAUCAAAAUUCUGUCCUUUUUUUCUUUAGUAAUAAGUUGACUUAAGUGAAGCCAAUUUAUUUUUCUCAGUAUAAUUUUUUGAACUUGGUUAAUUUUGCAAAUGAGCCCAUUGCCACCAAUCAUUAUUCACUAUUGGUGUAGAGAUUAUUGCACAUGCUUGAUUAUCUUGAUUUUUUUCUCAAGUGCAAGUGCUUUGGAUUCUUUCCUAUUAACAGCUUUUCAUCAUGGAUGAAAGAGAAUUUCUCUGUUUUUUAUUUGAUGCAUUGUGCCUGUCUUUCUUCUUCUUUUUUAAACUGAGCCAAUCUGUAUGCAUUCGAAAAUUGUAUUGUAGGCUAUAAAAUGGAGAAUUUUCACAUGCUAACUUGCAACAUGUGUUUUUAUUAAGCGCUGCCAGCUAAAUUAUGAUCUUGCAUAAAUUUUGUCCUUGUUUAUGACAUCAUAUGGCCAUUAAUUUUUUUUUCUUUUAUAAUUAACCCUGUUUUUGUCAAUAAUCUUUUUAGACGGUCUCUCCUAUGUGGUCGUUGGUGGUUUUUCUUUCUUUUUAAAGCAGCUUUGAAGUUUUCAGGGAUUCUUUGAUUUAUAUCUUAAAGUAUCCAUAUUCUAUCUAUCCUAAUCUAUGCUUUGAACAAGUUAUGCCAUCCAAUACUGUCAUUACAGGCAAAGUGGAGGCAAGAAGUGA
rnacentral:misc_RNA from 1 species